rnacentral:rRNA from 1 species
GAUGAACGCUGGCGGCGUGCCUAAUACAUGCAAGUCGAGCGAACAGACGAGGAGCUUGCUCCUCUGACGUUAGCGGCGGACGGGUGAGUAACACGUGGAUAACCUACCUAUAAGACUGGGAUAACUUCGGGAAACCGGAGCUAAUACCGGAUAAUAUAUUGAACCGCAUGGUUCAAUAGUGAAAGACGGUCUUGCUGUCACUUAUAGAUGGAUCCGCGCUGCAUUAGCUAGUUGGUAAGGUAACGGCUUACCAAGGCAACGAUGCGUAGCCGACCUGAGAGGGUGAUCGGCCACACUGGAACUGAGACACGGUCCAGACUCCUACGGGAGGCAGCAGUAGGGAAUCUUCCGCAAUGGGCGAAAGCCUGACGGAGCAACGCCGCGUGAGUGAUGAAGGUCUUCGGAUCGUAAAACUCUGUUAUUAGGGAAGAACAAAUGUGUAAGUAACUAUGCACAUCUUGACGGUACCUAAUCAGAAAGCCACGGCUAACUACGUG